UGGCUCACCAAGGCGACGAUGCGUAGCCGACCUGAGAGGGUGGAUCGGCCACAUUGGGACUGAGACACGGCCCAGACUCCUACGGGAGGCAGCAUG
rnacentral:rRNA from 1 species